ensembl:lncRNA
AUGUGCAGUGCCAGAAGCCAGGGCACCAGCGGCGCAGGAAAUGUACUGCAGGAGAAAGAACACGAGGACACCUCCACCAGAGAGGACUCUAGAAACCUGAACCCGCCCCCCUUCAGCUCCCCACUCCCUGGCAAAGGGCUCCAGCUGCUCUGGAUGAUGAGGAAGCCGGGCACCUCUGACAAGCAAGCUGCUGUAGGCACCACCUCAGAACUUCAGGUGUGGGCCACGAUUUUCUGCAUGGCCCCAGCAACUCCUGGAAUCCAUAACCUGACCAGGAACGUCAGAGGUCUUGCAUGCAGGCUGGAGUGCGGUGACACGGUCACAGCUCACUGCAACCUUGACCUACUGGAUUCAAGGGCCUUCCCACCUCAGCUUCUCAAGUAAUUGGGACCACAGCUGUUGGCUGGACACAGUGGCUUACAUCUGUAAUUCCGGAAUUGGGGAGGCUAAGGUGGGUGAAGUGCUUGAACCCAGAAGUUUGAGACCAGCCUAGGCGACAUGGCAAAACCGAGUCUCUACAUCUCGACACAAACAAACAAACCUGAAAUUAGCCGGUCAUCUGCAGUCCCAGCUAUGUACUCAGGAAACUAAGGCCAGCGGAUCUGUUGAGUCCUGGAGAUCGAGGCUGCAGUGAGCCACGAUCAUACCACUGCACUCCAGCCUGGGCAACAGAAAGAGACCCUGUCUCAAAAAAUAAUAAAGUACAUAAAUAAAUAAAUAAACUGUUGAUUGGGAGCCGUGUAUGCACCAGGCCCUAAGCGGGGCAUGAUGAGAUGGGAUGAAGAGUCUGGAGACUUGGGAAAGGCUGCACCUCUGGAGGGAGGCCGCAGCUUCUCCUUCAUCAAAGAGGUCC